rnacentral:lncRNA from 1 species
UAAUAGGGCUUGGGGACCUCUCUCUCACCCUCAGUUGCUCUCUCUCUCUCUCUCACUCUUUCCCUUUCUCUCUCUAGGAAAGAAAAGAAAAGAAAGAGAAGAAGGAGAAGAAAGAAAAGAAGGAAAAGAGGAAGAAGUUGAAGGAGAAGUUCAAGAAGAAGAAGAAGAAGGUCUUCUUCUCUCCCUCCUUCAAGCUAAGGCAAGCUUGGAGCUUGGCUUAGAGGUAAGCUUCCACCCCUUUAAUGGUAAUUCUAGGGUUUUGGGUUUUUAUGGUUUAGAAUUGGUUCAAAUGGAACCUAUUGGGAAUGAAUAGAUGGUUCGAGCUCAAAAUCGAAGCUCGCACCACGGAUUUCUCCGUUGUUGAGACCUAGGGCUUGGAAUUGGGAUUUUGGGAAAUCUAGGGUUUUGAUCUAAUUUGUUGGGUCGCUAACCUAAUUGCUAGGUCUCUAAACGCGUCGGCGAAGACGGUUUGCCGAUCCGACGAGCGGGUGCGGAGUUAUCGCCGAGUCGGGUACUCGAGGGCUCGCUUUGCCCCGAGGAGUUGAAGCGACGUGCAAAGACCGCAACGUCGAGUUUUCUAUCAUCGCGGCAUCGCCAAGAGGUGGGUGGUGUCCAUCCCGAAGCAAUCGGGCUCCCUCCUAUGUCUUAGUAUAUUUGAUCUUGCAUCUUGUAUUAUUGCAUUAUAGGAUUUGUAUGCAUUGCCUUUCCUUAUGUUUUUCCUUCAUGGUAUCGUAGUGUGCAUCGGAUAAUUGAUAUAUUGGAUUGAUAAGGAUUGGGUCGAGAUUGUGAAUCCUAUGAUGUAGAGAAAAUGAUGAAGUAUGAACGAGUGGCAUCUAGUUAAUAGUAAACUAUGAAUGAGUGGCAUCUAGUCGAUAGCGGACAAACGGACAAUCU